UUUCCCCUUUUUAUUUUCCAACAAAUGCCCCUGCCAGGCUCACAUUUCAGCCACCAGCCCACUCCAUUUCAGCCCAAUUACCUGCACCAGCCCAACAUCAUAACAACCAACCCGGCCCAGCUCCAAAUCCAUUCCCCUUACAGUCCCAAAUACCCCAUAACCCUUUCCCUGAUCCGAUAUCCACUUCAGUUUCAGCUAAAAACGACGACACCCAGCAAAUUCAACAACAAACAACGCAAAACAGCCGACACAACGACUUCAACGCCAACAACUCAAAAUUUCAACAACAGCUUUCAGCGUCAACAUCAACAUCAACAGGAAAACCAGCAAACCUUAUCCCAAAUUUUUUGAAAUUCACUUCUCAACUUGUUUCCCUUUUUUACCUUUUCGAAAAAGAACCCAAAAUUCUUCUAUAAAUACCAUGUAUGUCGAGUGAAGAGGGAGACGAUUGUUGGGGAAAAAUUUAAGGAUUCGGGAGGCUCAUGCUUCUAAUCCGGAACCAAAAAUCCUACAAGAAACAGACUAAAAAAAACUCCAUUCCGACAAAAAAAUUAAACUCCGAAGGGUCGAAAUUUAAACUCUGCUGGAAGUUCGUCGUAAAAGCUCGUCGUCCCAGUGAGCUGCUCCGAAACAGUCCAAAUUUGGACUGAUAUACACAGGAUAGCACACAUAUACAGGCUGGUAUAGGCUGAUAUACAACGUGUAUACACUGGAAGUCUUAGCUGCAUACCAUCAUACAGUGUACAAUGAAAUAUGGACAGGGACUAUGCUGAUUUCUACGUUGAUAUACAGUAAAUACGUUGAAAUAUACACAAAAACGCAAGGGUGAAGGGCUGUGAUAUACAGUCAAUAUACAGCUGGGUAUACACUGCAGAAAUGAACCAAAAGUCCAUAAAGGAUGACCCAAGAGCUGAACAAUUUUAUUGAUGGGCUAACUUAGGGCCCAAUUUCAAUUCUUGUAUUAUUUUUGUGGCUAAAUAACAUAAAUCCCAACCUUAUUAGAAUUA